rnacentral:rRNA from 1 species
AACGCGAAGAACCUUACCAGGGCUUGACAUCCCUUGACCGCUAUGGAAACAUAGUUUUCGAUCUUUCGGGAUUGACAAGGAGACAGGUGGUGCAUGGUUGUCGUCAGCUCGUGUCGUGAGAUGUUGGGUUAAGUCCCGCAACGAGCGCAACCCCUACGUUUAGUUGCCAGCAUUAAGUUGGGCACUCUAAAGGAACUGCCGGUGACAAACCGGAGGAAGGUGGGGAUGACGUCAAAUCAUCAUGCCCCUUAUGUCCUGGGCUACACACGUGCUACAAUGGACGGUACAGAGGGCAGCGAAGCCGUGAGGUGAAGCCAAUCCCAAAAAGCCGUUCUCAGUUCGGAUUGUAGUCUGCAACUCGACUACAUGAAGUCGGAAUCGCUAGUAAUCGCGAGUCAGCAUAUCGCGGUGAAUACGUUCCCGGGUCUUGUACACACCG